rnacentral:tRNA from 1 species
GCCUGGGUGGCUCAGUGUUUGAGCAUCUGCCUUUGGCUCAGGUUGUGAUCCUGGGGUCCUGGGAUCGAGUCCCACAUCAGGCU